rnacentral:rRNA from 1 species
UACGAGGGGGGCGAGCGUUGUUCGGAAUUAUUGGGCGUAAAGGGUGCGUAGGCGGUUUGGUAAGUCUUGUGUGAAAUCUACAGGCUCAACUUGUAGUCUGCACGAGAAACUGCCGGGCUUGAGUGUGGGAGAGGUGAGUGGAAUUCCUGGUGUAGCGGUGAAAUGCGUAGAUAUCAGGAGGAACACCUGUGGCGAAAGCGGCUCACUGGACCACAACUGACGCUGAUGCACGAAAGCUAGGGGAGCAAAC